rnacentral:rRNA from 1 species
CAGUCGAGCGGAACGAGUUAUCUGAACCUUCGGGGAACGAUAACGGCGUCGAGCGGCGGACGGGUGAGUAAUGCCUAGGAAAUUGCCCUGAUGUGGGGGAUAACCAUUGGAAACGAUGGCUAAUACCGCAUAAUACCUACGGGCCAAAGAGGGGGACCUUCGGGCCUCUCGCGUCAGGAUAUGCCUAGGUGGGAUUAGCUAGUUGGUGAGGUAAGGGCUCACCAAGGCGACGAUCCCUAGCUGGUCUGAGAGGAUGAUCAGCCACACUGGAACUGAGACACGGUCCAGACUCCUACGGGAGGCAGCAGUGGGGAAUAUUGCACAAUGGGCGCAAGCCUGAUGCAGCCAUGCCGCGUGUGUGAAGAAGGCCUUCGGGUUGUAAAGCACUUUCAGUCGUGAGGAAGGUAGUGUAGUUAAUAGCUGCAUUAUUUGACGUUAGCGACAGAAGAAGCACCGGCUAACUCCGUGCCAGCAGC